UUCAGUGAAGGUUGAUCGGUUGAGGAUGACUAAUCAUAGGAGUGUUGUGGUGUACUCUAUCGAGAAAGCUCGAUUAACAGCCUAGUUUGUACGGCUGUCAAAACUUAUCGAGGAUGCUACCUAGGGUACAGCAAUCAGACAAUAAGAUCUUUGUGUUCGACUCCAUUAGUCUCAAGAUCGGAUUGUUGAACUGGAGUCAUCGAAGGCUACCACCAA
rnacentral:lncRNA from 1 species